rnacentral:rRNA from 1 species
GGUUAAGCGACUAAGCGUACACGGUGGAUGCCCUGGCAGUCAGAGGCGAUGAAGGACGUGCUAAUCUGCGAUAAGCGUCGGUGAGGUGAUAUGAACCGUUAUAACCGGCGAUUUCCGAAUGGGGAAACCCAGUGUGUUUCGACACACUAUCAUUAACUGAAUCCAUAGGUUAAUGAGGCGAACCGGGGGAACUGAAACAUCUAAGUACCCCGAGGAAAAGAAAUCAACCGAGAUUCCCCCAGUAGCGGCGAGCGAACGGGGAGGAGCCCAGAGCCUGAAUCAGUGUGUGUGUUAGUGGAAGCGUCUGGAAAGGCGCGCGAUACAGGGUGACAGCCCCGUACACAAAAAUGCACAUACUGUGAGCUCGAUGAGUAGGGCGGGACACGUGGUAUCCUGUCUGAAUAUGGGGGGACCAUCCUCCAAGGCUAAAUACUCCUGACUGACCGAUAGUGAACCAGUACCGUGAGGGAAAGGCGAAAAGAACCCCGGCGAGGGGAGUGAAAAAGAACCUGAAACCGUGUACGUACAAGCAGUGGGAGCCUCUUAAUGGGGUGACUGCGUACCUUUUGUAUAAUGGGUCAGCGACUUAUAUUCUGUAGCAAGGUUAACCGAAUAGGGGAGCCGAAGGGAAACCGAGUCUUAACUGGGCGUUAAGUUGCAGGGUAUAGACCCGAAACCCGGUGAUCUAGCUAUGGGCAGGUUGAAGGUUGGGUAACACUAACUGGAGGACCGAACCGACUAAUGUUGAAAAAUUAGCGGAUGACUUGUGGCUGGGGGUGAAAGGCCAAUCAAACCGGGAGAUAGCUGGUUCUCCCCGAAAGCUAUUUAGGUAGCGCCUCGUGAAUUCAUCUCCGGGGGUAGAGCACUGUUUCGGCAAGGGGGUCAUCCCGACUUACCAACCCGAUGCAAACUGCGAAUACCGGAGAAUGUUAUCACGGGAGACACACGGCGGGUGCUAACGUCCGUCGUGAAGAGGGAAACAACCCAGACCGCCAGCUAAGGUCCCAAAGUCAUGGUUAAGUGGGAAACGAUGUGGGAAGGCCCAGACAGCCAGGAUGUUGGCUUAGAAGCAGCCAUCAUUUAAAGAAAGCGUAAUAGCUCACUGGUCGAGUCGGCCUGCGCGGAAGAUGUAACGGGGCUAAACCAUGCACCGAAGCUGCGGCAGCGACGCUUAUGCGUUGUUGGGUAGGGGAGCGUUCUGUAAGCCUGUGAAGGUGGCCUGUGAGGGUUGCUGGAGGUAUCAGAAGUGCGAAUGCUGACAUAAGUAACGAUAAAGCGGGUGAAAAGCCCGCUCGCCGGAAGACCAAGGGUUCCUGUCCAACGUUAAUCGGGGCAGGGUGAGUCGACCCCUAAGGCGAGGCCGAAAGGCGUAGUCGAUGGGAAACAGGUUAAUAUUCCUGUACUUGGUGUUACUGCGAAGGGGGGACGGAGAAGGCUAUGUUGGCCGGGCGACGGUUGUCCCGGUUUAAGCGUGUAGGCUGGUUUUCCAGGCAAAUCCGGAAAAUCAAGGCUGAGGCGUGAUGACGAGGCACUACGGUGCUGAAGCGACAAAUGCCCUGCUUCCAGGAAAAGCCUCUAAGCAUCAGGUAACAUUAAAUCGUACCCCAAACCGACACAGGUGGUCAGGUAGAGAAUACCAAGGCGCUUGAGAGAACUCGGGUGAAGGAACUAGGCAAAAUGGUGCCGUAACUUCGGGAGAAGGCACGCUGAUAUGUAGGUGAAGCGACUUGCUCGUGGAGCUGAAAUCAGUCGAAGAUACCAGCUGGCUGCAACUGUUUAUUAAAAACACAGCACUGUGCAAACACGAAAGUGGACGUAUACGGUGUGACGCCUGCCCGGUGCCGGAAGGUUAAUUGAUGGGGUUAGCGGUAACGCGAAGCUCUUGAUCGAAGCCCCGGUAAACGGCGGCCGUAACUAUAACGGUCCUAAGGUAGCGAAAUUCCUUGUCGGGUAAGUUCCGACCUGCACGAAUGGCGUAAUGAUGGCCAGGCUGUCUCCACCCGAGACUCAGUGAAAUUGAACUCGCUGUGAAGAUGCAGUGUACCCGCGGCAAGACGGAAAGACCCCGUGAACCUUUACUAUAGCUUGACACUGAACAUUGAGCCUUGAUGUGUAGGAUAGGUGGGAGGCUUUGAAGUGUGGACGCCAGUCUGCAUGGAGCCGACCUUGAAAUACCACCCUUUAAUGUUUGAUGUUCUAACGUGGGCCCCUUACCGGGGUUGCGGACAGUGUCUGGUGGGUAGUUUGACUGGGGCGGUCUCCUCCUAAAGAGUAACGGAGGAGCACGAAGGUUGGCUAAUCCUGGUCGGACAUCAGGAGGUUAGUGCAAUGGCAUAAGCCAGCUUGACUGCGAGCGUGACGGCGCGAGCAGGUGCGAAAGCAGGUCAUAGUGAUCCGGUGGUUCUGAAUGGAAGGGCCAUCGCUCAACGGAUAAAAGGUACUCCGGGGAUAACAGGCUGAUACCGCCCAAGAGUUCAUAUCGACGGCGGUGUUUGGCACCUCGAUGUCGGCUCAUCACAUCCUGGGGCUGAAGUAGGUCCCAAGGGUAUGGCUGUUCGCCAUUUAAAGUGGUACGCGAGCUGGGUUUAGAACGUCGUGAGACAGUUCGGUCCCUAUCUGCCGUGGGCGCUGGAGAACUGAGGGGGGCUGCUCCUAGUACGAGAGGACCGGAGUGGACGCAUCACUGGUGUUCGGGUUGUCAUGCCAAUGGCACUGCCCGGUAGCUAAAUGCGGAAGAGAUAAGUGCUGAAAGCAUCUAAGCACGAAACUUGCCCCGAGAUGAGUUCUCCCUGACUCCUUGAGAGUCCUGAAGGAACGUUGAAGACGACGACGUUGAUAGGCCGGGUGUGUAAGCGCAGCGAUGCGUUGAGCUAACCGGUACUAAUGAACCGUGAGG